rnacentral:sRNA from 1 species
GCCGGGUGCCUGUAAUCCCAGCUACUCAGGAGGCUGAGGCAGGAGGAUCGCAAGCUCGAGGCCAGCCUCAGCAACGUAGUGAGACCCUGUCUCAA